rnacentral:rRNA from 1 species
GAUGAACGCUGGCGGCGUGCUUAACACAUGCAAGUCGAACGGAAAGGCCCAAGCUUGCUUGGGUACUCGAGUGGCGAACGGGUGAGUAACACGUGGGUGAUCUGCCCUGCACUUCGGGAUAGGCCUGGGAAACUGGGUCUAAUACCGGAUAGGACCACAUUUUGGAUGGUGUGGUGGAAAGUUUUUCGGUGUGGGAUGAGCUCGCGGCCUAUCAGCUUGUUGGUGGGGUAAUGGCCUACCAAGGCGUCGACGGGUAGCCGGCCUGAGAGGGUGUACGGCCACAUUGGGACUGAGAUACGGCCCAGACUCCUACGGGAGGCAGCAGUGGGGAAUAUUGCACAAUGGGCGCAAGCCUGAUGCAGCGACGCCGCGUGGGGGAUGACGGCCUUCGGGUUGUAAACUCCUUUCGCUAGGGACGAAGCGUUAUGUGACGGUACCUGGAGAAGAAGCACCGGCUAACUACGUG